rnacentral:rRNA from 1 species
UCCGUAGUCGGUUUGGUAAGUUCUCUGUGAAAUUCUGCGACUUAAUUGUAGAGCUCGCAGGGAAUACUGCUAGACUAGGAACCGGGAGAGGUCAGGGGAAUUCUUUGGGUAGCGGUGAAAUGCUAUAAUCCAAGGAAGACCACCGAUAGCGAAGGCACCUGACUAGAACGGGUUCGACGAUGAGGGACGAAAGCUAGGGGAGCAAACCGGAUUAGAUACCCGAGUAGUCC